AUACAUUCGUUUUCUCCGUGACUUCUUAGAGUCAGCUGAGAAGCACUUCAUGGUGGGGCUGGAUGUGCACUACUACGUGUUCACCGACCUGCCCGGCGAUGUGCUAGCAACAUGACUCUUGGUGUCGGCAGGAUGCUCAGCAUCGUGAGGGUGCCGAAGUUCGACCGCUGCAGGAGAUAUCCCUCCGCCGCAUGGAGCUCAUCCAGACUGCCAUUGAGGAUCGCAUCCACCGGGAGGCGCACUACAUCUUCUGCCUGGAUGUAGACAUGAGGUUCCAUGGCCGUGUGGGGUCCGAGGCGUUGGGGAGACUGGU